CUAGUUGGCGGGGUAACGGCCCACCAAGGCGACGAUGGCUAGGGGAGCUGAGAGGCUGGUCCCCCACACGGGCACUGAGAUACGGGCCCGACUCCUACGGGAGGCAGCAGUAGGGAAUAUUGGGCAAUGGGCGAGAGCCUGACCCAGCCAUGCCGCGUGCAGGAUGAAGGCUUUCUGAGUCGUAAACUGCUUUUGCCAGGGAAGAAAAAAGCGGAUGCGUCCGCUACUGACGGUACCUGGUGAAUAAGCACCGGCUAACUCCGUGCCAGCAGCCGCGGUAAUACGGAGGGUGCAAGCGUUGUCCGGAUUUAUUGGGUUUAAAGGGUGCGUAGGCGGCCGAUUAAGUCUGGGGUGAAAGCCCGUUGCUCAACAACGGAACUGCCCUGGAAACUGGUCGGCUUGAGUACAGACGAGGGUGGCGGAAUGGAUGCUGUAGCGGUGAAAUGCAUAGAUAGCAUCCAGAACCCCGAUUGCGAAGGCAGCUGCCUAGACUGUAACUGACGCUGAGGCACGAAAGCGUGGGGAGCGAACAGGAUUAGAUACCCUGGUAGUCCACGCCGUAAACGAUGGAUACUCGCUGGUGGCGAUAGACGGUCACUGGCUUAGCGAAAGCGUUAAGUAUCCCACCUGGGGAGUACGCUCGCAAGAGUGAAACUCAAAGGAAUUGACG
rnacentral:rRNA from 1 species